CACCCCAUCAUGCUGUCAAACCCCCCAAUGGUUUCAAAUGUGAGAUGGCUCUUUCACUGAUAAUGUCUUAUUCGCGAAAGUGGCCCCCCUCCGAAAAUGAGUGAAUAUCACUGUUUUAGGUCAAGGAUUGGCCAAAUAAAGUAGGUAUUAUUUGCUUAUGUUUCUAAAUGUCCGUAAUAAAACUAUAUUUAUGCCACCAGCUGAAUGAGUGGCAGGAGGACUGGGUGACGUUCUUCUCACGGCAGCGACUGCAGCUUCAGCUGGACAUGAUAGAGAAGGACUACGGUGAACGGGAAACCCGCGAGCUCUGGUCUCGGCUUCAGGAUGUUCCAGGAGCUUUAGCUCCACGCUUCACUCAUCCUACCACGCUCUCAUCCCAAAGUCACAAGGCUUCGGCAAGAGCCAGAAGCUCUAGCAACUCUUCCACUACCUGAACCACUGGAAUCACUUUGGGACAGGAUACCGAGGGUCAUCCAUCUCCACCAUGCGCAGUCUCCUCAAGUGAAUGAACGGUGCAGGAAAUCGUGGGCUAUGGUGUAUGACUAUAAAAAUUAUUAUCGGCCAUGAUAUACAUUGUUGAAUAAAGGCCUUCCCUAAGCCACCACUCAAUCUCACAAAACUAGUCCAUUUAAAUGCUGUGCAAUGCCCUAGGCAUUCCACGUGAGUGUGACCGGGGGUCCCUUUGUUCCACAUCCUGGCCGUGAUCUCCACGCGAAAACUGGGUCAGUUAAUGUCCGAAUCAGAAUCUUUAAUUAGGCUGGACGAAUCUGAUGAGCUAUGAAGCUCUUUUUUUCACAGAUGUCCAGUCGGGGCGAGUCAGAAAGUUACAACAACAAACAACAAGUACAAACAGAUAGGAGGGCAAAGUAAAGGAACGCGAAGCAAAUUUUGACUUAAAACUUUCGUGACUGCAGGAAUUCAUAUUCUUGGUUCUUUCGGUAAAGUCACGUAAAUAGAAAACAAAAAACAAUAAAAUAAAGACCGCUUGUGUUGCGAUUGAAACGUCCUGGGUUUUUUGCUUUUAUUAUUUUCAAUUUAUUUUUUAUUUGUUUUAUGUAUUUAAUUAUUUAAUUUGAAUUUGAUUUCUUGUUUUCUAUUUACGUGACUUUAUUUACGUGACUUUACCAAGAAUAUGAACGCUAAGCAAGUCAUGAAAUAAAAAUAUGUAAGAGUUCAAAUUGCAUUAGUGCAUCAAUUCCUGCCAAAUUUUUUUAUCACCAAAUGCCAUUUUGGGCAAUGCAGUAUAACAAAAACAAUCCCAGAUGUUUGGCUAGUACCAGUUACAGUGUAUGUUUUUGUUGUUGUUUUGCUAUGGGAGUAAACCCAUGCAGAGAAAGGGACCAGAAUUAGGAAAGCGAAACCAGGCACUCCUUCAGAAGAUGCCAUGCACGGGCGUGACCACUGCACCACCCUGACGCCCAAACAAAUGUAAUUCAAAUAAUCUACAAUACUGGCAAAUAAACCCUAUUAGU